rnacentral:ncRNA from 1 species
CCUUUGGAGUGCUAAAUCAAAAGAAAGUAGUUGCAAAAUGAAAAUCUGGCACGGCGAAGAAGGAA